rnacentral:lncRNA from 1 species
GGGAAUUAUGUCCUAAAGCUAAGUAUUUGAUGAUUGUACUAAUUAUAAAUGUAUAUGAACUGAUAAAUAAUAAAAGUUAUUUGAUAUUUUUCAUCAUAAAGAUACAUCUUUUAAUGAACUCCUAUGUUGUGAUGAAGUCUUUAGGAUUACUUUGAUCGAUAAAGGAGGAUUUAUCGCGUACUCCUUAAAUUGAUUCGCGAUCAAACGAUACGCUAUUACUAGGAUGAUAGGG